AGAACGAACGCUGGCGGCAUGCCUAACACAUGCAAGUCGAACGAGACCUUCGGGUCUAGUGGCGCACGGGUGCGUAACGCGUGGGAAUCUGCCCUCUGGUACGGAAUAACUCAGGGAAACUUGAGCUAAUACCGUAUAAUGACUUCGGUCCAAAGAUUUAUCGCCUGAGGAUGAGCCCGCGUAGGAUUAGCUUGUUGGUGAGGUAAAAGCUCACCAAGGCGACGAUCCUUAGCUGGUCUGAGAGGAUGAUCAGCCACACUGGGACUGAGACACGGCCCAGACUCCUACGGGAGGCAGCAGUGGGGAAUAUUGGACAAUGGGCGAAAGCCUGAUCCAGCAAUGCCGCGUGAGUGAUGAAGGCCUUAGGGUUGUAAAGCUCUUUUACCCGGGAUGAUAAUGACAGUACCGGGAGAAUAAGCCCCGGCUAACUCCGUGCCAGCAGCCGC
rnacentral:rRNA from 1 species